rnacentral:rRNA from 1 species
CCUACGGGCGGCAGCAGUGGGGAAUAUUGCACAAUGGGGGAAACCCUGAUGCAGCGACGCCGCGUGAGUGAAGAAGUAUCUCGGUACGUAAAGCUCUAUCAGCAGGGAAGAAAAUGACGGUACCUGACUAAGAAUCCCCGGCUAACUACGUGCCAGCAGCCGGGGUAAUACGGCGGGGGCAAGCGUUAUCCGGAUUUACUGGGUGUAAAGGGGGCGUAUACGGCAGCACAAGUCUGGAGUGAAAUCCCGGGGCUUAAACCCGGAACUGCUUUGGAAACUGUGCGGCUGGAGUGCAGGAGGGGUAAGCGGAAUAACUAGUGUAGCGGUGAAAUGCGUAGAUAUUAGGAGGAACACCGAUAGCGAAGGCGGCUUACUGGACUGUAACUGACGUUGAGGCUCGAGAGCGUGGGGAGCAAACAGGAUUAGAUACCCCUGUAGUC